GUGCAGAGUAUGAGAUGCUUCCUAGGACCUACAGGGGUGUCACCUUUAAAGCAAAGGACCUACUUGUGGCUCAAGAUUAUGGUCCAUGGCCUGCUUAGUGAAUCCUAGUGUUAAUAUAAUGGGUACUUCUAUGACUUAAGGGAUCACUGGCAAACCUUAUGCUCUGUUGCAUUAAUGAAAAGAGAAAAGUGUUGGGUUUGCUCCAGUACAACGUUAUUAAUUUGCUCUGUGUAAAUUUAUACAUCCAGAUGCAGAUCCUUGAUUCUUUCCAAAGUCUACAUCACCAGCACACCAUCCGGAGUUUCCAGGAAUUGAUCCACUGGUUCAGAAGACACACAGGGAUAUUUGUACAUCAGAAUUCUUACUUUUGUGGUUGGCCCUCCAAAACAAAUAACCCCUGGUGGCCUCAUUUGAGGGGUGUGUGUGUGUGUGUGUGAGAGAGAGAGAGAGAGAGAGAGAGAGAGAAUGGAUGCAAGACAUGGAUGCAGAGAAUGCUCUCUACUGCUGAAUUUUGGGUAUGUACAUACACAUUAGUGGCUUAAAAUGCAGAGAGGUAAUUUCCCCUUGCUGUAUUUCAAGUUGCUUUCCCCCCCCCCCCGUUGCUUUACUCACCAGAGGGAAGAAGGAGGUGUCUUCACCUGAUGUGCAUUACCUGAUUUGCUUCCCCCAUUUCCGCAACCCUUCCCCUCCCAGCUCCUAUUUAGUGAAGCUGUCUUCACUGCCUAUACUCACCAGGCCUAUCUUCUGCCCUUCAAACCAGCUUCAGAUUCAGCUACUGUCCAAGUGUUUCUGUACAUCAUGGCUACAAUCCAGCCCAGAGUUUAUUUCACUGGGAUCCAGAAUGACAUGCUGGAUUGUGGCCUACAGCCUUGCCCUGAAUUGGUACUGGGGUGAGUGCUGGUUUAUAAGCCAGUCUCUUCCAGAACAGGUCAGGGAUUGGGAGGCUGAUCUUGACUGACCCACCCAUGUCUUGCUAUGAUGAUUCUCUUCAGCAUAUCAGGAUGUGCCAUUUAAUCCCUAGAAACUGAAUUGAUAGUGGAUAGGACAGGUGCCUUAAUCAAUGGUAAGGAAUUUUUGAAACAACCAAAUAGGAAUUUGGCUAUUGCCUCCCCAAAAUACCUGUUUUACUGGUUUGUUUUUCCUCCCCAUGUUGCUGCUCUGCCAAUAACAGAGCAAAAGAAAACAUGAACUGAUGUUUAGCCCUGACUGAUCUAUCAAAAGUGGAAUUGCAAUUUUCCAUUUUAACUUUUUCUACAUUUCUCCCAUUGCUCUACUUCCAUUUCCACAUAUAGCUCAGACAAAACAGCCUCGGCAGCAAAGCACACCACCACCAAAACAGCUAUAUGCACAGUUUGGGUGUAACUUUGCAAUUGUAAUUUAAUAUCCCCAUAAUGGAUUUGGAUGAGAAAGGACACCUCUCAGAUCUGCAGUAGAUUCAGAAUUGGAAAGGAUUAAAACCCGAAGCAUUCAGAAUAGUCUUAACAAACAGGUUAGCUGGGUAGGCAGCAGCAGAAUGAAUCAACAAGGACAAAUGUAAAAGCCAUGUGCAGGGAAAAUGAAGCAAAUAUAUUGUCAGAAGCGGCAACAUUGCUUCCAUAAAAGAUAUAGGAGUUAUGGAGAGUAAGAAAUUGAGUAUGAGCCAACGGUGUGAUGCUGAGGCACAUAAGGCUAAUGCUACGUUAAAUGCCCAGCCAAGUAGAAUCGCUGUCUCCUCUCUGCUGAUCUGGGAGGAAAAGAAGGAAAAGAUGCAGUCUGCACUGCGUUCCAUGAUCUGCAUUUGCCCUCCACCUUCCUGGUUUUCUCAUGCAAAAGCUCGUCCCUAAUACAAGAGGCAGAAACUCGCCUGAAACAGUCUGGAAAGAACUGACCAGCUUAACGCCUUCAUUACUGAAGCCCUUUAGUUUCUCUCUUACUUUUCAGUGGCGAGUUGCACCCAUGCACUCAUUCAUCUAGAGCAUUUGUUAAUUUUUGUCGGAUGUAAUCCACUGGGAGCAGUCAAGUACAACAUUCCUUGUUUUGCUAGAGUGGACAUGCAGGAGAAUGUUUGGUCCAGCCAGUCAAACUACCUGUUCCUCCUGGCCUGGAGCAUCCUUCCUUACAUGUGACUAGUGGGUGGGCGUGACCUUUCCAGACCUGGUAAAAGGCCAAUGCAUGCUGCCACUCUCAGGGGCGUAGGAAGGGGGGCGGUGGUGGCGGGCCGCCCCGGGUGUCAUCCUGGAGUGUGGGUGGGUGUGUGACAAAAAGGCACACUGCAGGGGUGCACAUCAUGGCCACCACUCUGGGCACCCAUGCAGCUAACUCUGCCACUGGCCACUCUCUCUUUUCCAUCUUCCUUUCGUUCUGAGAACUUCUCAGACUGCUAACUGCAGUCAUUAGGUCAACCCACAUAUGGGGUAAACCUGUUUGUACAUGUUUGUAACUUUAAGCCUUAAGCCUGCCUUCAGGGAAUCAAACUAUGCUCUGCCUGAUCGUGAGUAAACUUUCUUUUUAUUGCU
rnacentral:lncRNA from 1 species